GAUGAAGAACGUAGCGAAAUGCGAUAAGUAAUGUGAAUUGCAGAAUUCAGUGAAUCAUCGAAUCUUUGAACGCACAUUGCGCCCGCCAGUAUUCUGGCGGGCAUGCCUGUUCGAGCGUCAUUUCAACCAUCAAGCCCCAGGCUUGUGUUGGGGACCUGCGGCUGCCGCAGGCCCUGAAAACCAGUGGCGGGCUCGCUGUCACACCGGGCGUAGUAGAUUUUAUCUCGCUCAGGGCGUGCUGCGGGUUCCGGCCGUUAAAAAGCCUUUUUUACCCAAGGUUGACCUCGGAUCAGGUAGGAAGACCCGCUGAACUUAAGCAUAUCAAUAACGAGGA
rnacentral:misc_RNA from 1 species